GGGGGUGAAACUGGUUUCGACGGGUUUAUUACGUUAUUAGAUUGCACGUCCUGUUCCUCAACUACAGGUUAAACAGUGAGAAAAUGCUUUAAAUGGCGAAAAUAAUUACGCUUUAGCUGCUUAAUUUAAUAGGUAGCCGUUCUCCUUUUCUAUUCGUGCCGUGAAUUGGAAGAACGCCGUUAGGUGCGAUAGCUGAAUCGAGAGUCUGAGUAGAGGAUGCGAAAUUUAUCAGACUGGCUUAAUAAAAUCAUGUCUGUAAGAGUUUAUUAGGUAAGAUUAAAAAACAGACUACACGUGUAGAUGUUUAGUAAAUGAUAUUUUCGGACGCGGGUUCGACUCCCGCCACCUCCACAA
rnacentral:tmRNA from 1 species